rnacentral:lncRNA from 1 species
AUGGGGGCACGGAGGGUGGUGGGGGGGGUGGGGGGGGGCCGCCCCCUUCCUGUCCCUGUCCCCUGCGGGCACAAACCUCAGCCCCCCCCGGCCCCCCUCCCGCCUUCCGGGGUGCUGGGGGGACCUGUGCUGUGGGCAGCCCAGUGCUCCCAGUGCUCCCAGUGCUCCCAGUGCCCCCAGUGCUCCGUGUCCCCAGCUCCCAGUGCUCCCAGUGCUACCAGUGCCCCCAGUGCUCCCAGUGCUCCCAGUGCCCCCAGUGCUCUGUGUCCCCAGCUCCCAGUGCUCCCAGUGCCCCCAGUGCCCCCAGUGCUCCAUGUCCCCAGCUCCCAGUGCUCCCAGUGCUCCCAGUGCUCCCAGUGCUCUGUGUCCCCAGCUCCCAGUGCUCCCAGUGCACCCAGUGCUCCCAGUUCCCUCAGUACUCCCAGUAUCCUCCAUGCUCUCCAUACCCACAGUGCACCCAGUGCUCCCAGUUCUCCCAGUGCCCUCAGUGCUCCCAGUAGCCAGUACCCUCAGUGUCCCCAGUGCUCCCAGUACCCCCAGAACCCCCAACGCCUCCAGUGCCCCCAGUGCCCCCCCAGUGCCCCCAGUUCUCCCAGUACCCUCCAGUGCCCCCAGUGCUCCCAGUACCCCCCAGUACCCCCAGUACCCCCCAGUGCUCCCAGUGCACCCAGUACCCCCCCAGUACCCCCAGUACCCCCCAGUGCCCCCAGUUCUCCCAGUACCCUCCAGUGCCCCCAGUGCUCCCAGUACCCCCAAUGCCCCCAGUGUCCCCCAGUAUCUCCAGUACCCCCAGUACCCCCCAGUACCCCCAGUACCCCCCAGUACCCCCCAGUUCUCCCAGUACCCCCCAGUACCCCCAGUACCCCCCAGUAUCUCCAGUACCCCCCAGUACCCCCCAGUGCUCCCAGUGCACCCAGUACCCCCAGUUCUCCCAGUACCCUCCAGUAUCCCCAAUACCCCCCAGUGCCCCCAGUACCCUCCAGUGCCCCCAGUACCCCCAGUUCUCCCAGUACCCCCCAGUGCCCCCAGUACCCCCCAGUGCUCCCAGUACCCCCCAGUUCUCCCAGUACCCCCCAGUGCCCCCAGUACCCUCCAGUUCUCCCAGUACCCCCCAGUUCUCCCAGUACCCCCCAGUACCCCCAGUACCCCCCAGUGCUCCCAGUACCCCCCAGUUCUCCCAGUACCCCCCAGUGCUCCCAGUGCCCCCAGUACCCCCCAGUUCUCCCAGUACCCCCCAGUGCCCCCAGUACCCCCCAGUGCCCCCAGUACCCUCCAGUUCUCCCAGUGCCCCCCAGUUCUCCCUUGUACCCCCCAGUACCCCCAGUACCCCCAGUGCUCCCAGUGCUCCCAGUACCCCCCAGUUCUCCCAGUACCCCCAAUACCCCCCAGUUCUCCCAGUUCCCCCCAGUUCUCCCAGUACCCCUCAGUGCUCCCAGUACCCCCCAUUUCUCCCAGUACCCCCAGUACCCUCCAGUUCUCCCAGUACCCCCCAGUGCCCCCAGUGCCCUCCCGGCCGCCAGGGGGCGCUGCCCCCUCCCCAGGCCCCGCCCCCGUCCCAAUAUGGCGGCGGCCGCGGCCGCCCUGGCGCUGAGGGUGAGCGCGGCGGGGCCGGGAGGGGGGCACGGGGGGGACGGGGCAUGGGGACACGGGGGUGGGGACACGGGGGUGGGGACAUGGGGUGGGGGCACCUAG